GUUGCCAGCAUUCAGUUGGGCACUCCAAGGUGACUGCCGGCUAAAAGUCGGAGGAAGGUGGGGAUGACGUCAAAUCAUCAUGCCCCUUAUGACCUGGGCUACACACGUGCUACAAUGGGCGGUACAAAGGGUCGCGAACCCGCGAGGGGGAGCCAAUCCCAAAAAGCCGCUCUCAGUUCGGAUUGCAGGCUGCAACUCGCCUGCAUGAAGCCGGAAUCGCUAGUAAUCGCGGAUCAGCAUGCCGCGGUGAAUACGUUCCCGGGCCUU
rnacentral:rRNA from 1 species